rnacentral:rRNA from 1 species
AUGAACGCUGGCGGCGUGCCUCAUCCAUGCAAGUCGCGCGAACAGACGAGGAGCUUGCUCCUCUGACGUUAGCGGCGGACGGGUGAGUAACACGUGGAUAACCUACCUAUAAGACUGGGAUAACUUCGGGAAACCGGAGCUAAUACCGGAUAAUAUAUUGAACCGCAUGGUUCAAUAGUGAAAGACGGUUUUGCUGUCACUUUUAGAUGGAUCCGCGCCGCAUUAGCUAGUUGGUAAGGUAACGGCUUACCAAGGCAACGAUGCGUAGCCGACCUGAGAGGGUGAUCGGCCACACUGGAACUGAGACACGGUCCAGACUCCUACGGGAGGCAGCAGUAGGGAAUCUGCCGCAAUGGGCGAAAGCCUGACGGAGCAACGCCGCGUGAGUGAUGAAGGUCUUCGGAUCGUAAAACUCUGUUAUUAGGGAAGAACAAAUGUGUAAGUAACUAUGCACGUCUUGACGGUACCUAAUCAGAAAGCCACGGCUAACUACGU